rnacentral:rRNA from 1 species
UACGUAGGGGGCGAGCGUUGUCCGGAUUCAUUGGGCGUAAAGAGCUCGUAGGCGGCUUGGCAAGUCGGAUGUGAAAACUCCAGGCUCAACCUGGAGCCGCCAUUCGAUACUGCUAUGGCUAGAGUCCGGUAGGGGAGUGUGGAAUUCCCGGUGUAGCGGUGAAAUGCGCAGAUAUCAGGAGGAACACCGGUGGCGAAGGCGGUUCUCUGGGAAUAUCCUGACGCUGAGGAGCGAAAGUGUGGGGAGCGAACAGG